GAAAAAGCAGGAUCUGUUGUCUAUGUGAGCAGAUCACUCGUAAACCUCAGGUACAUAAUCACCAUUGUUAUUGGGUGAACCUCUGUGUAAUUUUUGUCACUGAAGGUUCAGUGAAUGAUGGAACGUGU